UAAAAGUUUUAUUUUAGCUUUUAAAGGUUUAAUUUGAAUAGAUUUUACAUGCAAAGUUUUAUAAAUAAUUUUUUAGCAGUAUUUAGAUUUAUAAAUUAAGUAAUUUUAGAUAUAGGCAUUUUUAAUAACAUUAACAAAUUUUGUGCCAGCAGUUGCGGUUACACAAAUGAUGUAAUUAAACUUAUAUUGAUAAGUAAUAAUCUUAAUUUAAUUUGAGAAAUUAAUUUAGAAUUUUUAGGUGGAAUUUAAAUUUUAAAGGGAUUUGGGUAAGAAAAGAUAAUUUAUUAAAUUUUUUAUUAAACUAGGAUUAGAUACCCUAUUAUAAGAAAUGUAAAUAUUUGAUAUCAGAUUAGUAAAAGGAAGUUCUUGAAAUUUAAAAGAUUUGGCGGUGUUUUAGUCUGGUCAGAGGAACCUGCCCUGUAAUUGAUAAUCCACGAUUAGUUGAACUUUUAUUUUAAGUUUGUAUAUCGUCGUUAUUUGAAUAUCUUGAAAGGGCUUUAAUAAUCAAGAAUCAUAAUUUUGUUUUAGGUCAGAUCAAGGUGCAGCUUAUAUAAAAGGAGAGGUGGGUUACAUUAAAUGUAUUUUUAGUUUUUUUAUUUAAAUAUAAAAAAUAAAUUGGAUUUGUAAGUAAAUUAAAUAAUUUAAUUUGGUUGAUAAAAGCUCUAGAAUAUGCACAUAUCGCCCGUCGCUCCUUUUAUAAUGAAGGAUAAGUCGUAACAAAGUAGAUGUAUCGGAAGAUGUAUCUGGAAAGAC
rnacentral:ncRNA from 1 species